UACGUAGGGUGCGAGCGUUGUCCGGAAUUAUUGGGCGUAAAGAGCUCGUAGGCGGUGUGUCACGUCGUUCGUGAAAACCUGCAGCUUAACUGUGGGCGUGCGGUCGAUACGGGCAUCACUGGAGUUCGGCAGGGGAGACUGGAAUUCCUGGUGUAGCGGUGAAAUGCGUAGAUAUCAGGAGGAACACCGGUGGUGUAGACGGCUUUCUGGACCGACACUGACGCUGGAGAACACGAAAGCGUGGGUAGCAAACAGG
rnacentral:rRNA from 1 species